rnacentral:rRNA from 1 species
GACGAACCGUGCGAACGUUAUUCGGAAUCACUGGGCUUAAAGCGCGUGUAGGCGGGGUGGCACGUCCGUCGCUGAAAUCCCCCGGCUCAACCGGGGAACGGGCGCGGAUACGACCAUCCUCGAGGGACGUAGGGGGACCUGGAACUUCCGGUGGAGCGGUGAAAUGCGUUGAGAUCGGAAGGAACGCCCGUGGCGAAAGCGAGGUCCUGGACGUCUGCUGACGCUGAGACGCGAAAGCCAGGGGAGCGAACGGG